UUCGUUCGGUUUAGAAUUUUACGUUGGCAGAUGUUUUCUUUGGGCACUUCAAGGAUAUCAUUGUUAUUACCUGCCUUCUCUAUCUUCUGAUGAAAAGUCGGUGUUCACUUAUUGUUUCUCAUUUGAAGGAUAAAAUGGAAGUGAUUGCUCUUUCUGAUUUGCUUUGGGAAGUGAUGAAACAAAAGAUGAUGAUUAUUUGUAAAAGAAGAAUCAAUAGUCGCUGAAUGAGGGCCUGAAUGAUUCUCCGAUGAGUCAAAGAUGCCAGUGUCAUCGUGGGGCAUGAUCCAUUUGUUCACUGACAUUUCAGCCUGGAGGACUUUGAGAGAUAAUUGUCUCCCAGCAGCUGACACCUAGGGCCACUGGAGAAGAGAAAAGGCUCAAAAGGUGGAGACAAAGGAACUACCAAGGCGCAGAGAAGUCAGGCAACGUACCCAAGGGCACACAGCUCACAAGGGUGUGUGGCUGUGUCUUGAUAUGGGGCCUAAGUCUCCUUCCAUCCUCACUGCUCUGCCUCACUUUGGAGCCAUUCAAUUGAAGUUUAUUGAACGAUUGAAAAAUCGAAGAUCAAGUGAAGAGUUUGAGGUUUUGGAAUUGGAAAAGCCUUCAGAAUUUCCUGGAACCCUCAGAUCAUUCUUGAAGCCCUCCCUGUAUGAAGGAAACAUCUCUGUUUCCUCCAAAAGAAAGGCAGAGCAAUCUUCCUAAUUUAAGCAUCUUGGGUACAAAUCUUUAGAUUGAGAAUGUGUAACUUCAAAAUAGUCAAUAAAAAAAAGACUAACAUCAAGAUAUAACAAAAUGCAUUAAUGAGAGUCUUGAGGGUACAUCAGUUUGUUGAGAACUCAAAUUUUCCUCUAGUCAUUGUGAUGCUAUUGAAUAAGUCACAUUUGUGUUUAUAAUUGGUUUAACUUCUUCAUUUUAACCAUAUGUUUGUAUCUGGUUUAGUUAAAAGAAAAAAAUAGUAAAAGAUUUACCGGGUUCAAUCAUAUAGUUCUUUUAAAAGCUUUGGUAAUGGGGAGCCAGCAAGGGUUUCUGAACAGAUGUUUGAUUUUAUUAGACUUUAGGAAGAUUAAUAUGGGCAAUCUACUUAGUUGCAUAGGAUGCUGUAUUAACUAGCCCACAGUGGCCAUAGCAGUGGGGUUUUCAGAGCAACUGCUUUUGAUCAGGGAGUAACUUCUAGUGCUACUCAAGUUAUCCUACAUUACAUGGUGCUGACUGUGCUUUUGUAUAGAGUGAUCCUCUUGGACAUCCGAGUGCCUUCCUGAGUACCCAAUACUGAGUCCAAUUCAUGAGAGACAAGUAAAGACUGCAGGUAAAGUCCCCAAGCCAGUGGGUCUCAUUGGUAGAGUUCACAUUGCUUCUCUCUUAAAGUGAUUGAUCACUGAUAGACUCAGAUGACAAGGGGAGCAGCAGUUGGUGAGACAUGAGUAUGGUCCACCCAUUAGAGAUGGCUCUCAAAGUAUAGAUGUGUAAACACAUUUCAUUGUUAUGAGUUUUAUGAGCACCAGAAUGAAGCACAUUUGGCUUUUAUCACUGGGCAUUAAAUAGGGGAAGAUGGAUGCAAUGCAGUGUUCAUGUUAUCCUUUAUAUUAUGUUCAAAAUUAUUAAGCUGCACUUAGGACACAUUUGGAAAAAAAUACUGGGAUUUGAACAUCACAUAGAAAAGCCGGUGUAUGUUUCACAGGAUGUUGGGCUUCAGGAGAGAGAGAAGAGGAAGAGGGAAGAGAACAGUCUUUACAUACUUCAUUUUUCCCCCAUACAUCAUACACAAAUAAUAAAAUAUUGUCCCAAAGAUUUUAGUUAAUUGUAAUGUAUCUCUGGAUAUCCCUCUGAGCAGUCAUUUCUGGAGUCCAUACACAGAAGAAAGACCAGUUUAUUAUCUGCUGAACAAUAGGCUAACUUGAAUCAUUGUUAUUAUUCAUUUGGAAAGUCUAAGAAAAGGCUGCAUUCUUAGACAAAACCAGGAGAUAGUUCUUUGCCUGGUAGGAGUGAUGGUGCUUGGCCAAACAUAGCCAGCAGAAUGUGAGCUAGCCAAGGAAACAGAGAUAGGGCUGGAUUCCUCAGAGAGACAGUGAAUCUUGGAAAGGUGGACAGAAGAAGCAAAUUAUGAGGAGGUAUUUAAAGAAGGAAGACAGAUUUGUCCCUAUUUGUAGACAGACUAAGUAAAGCAGAUGGUUGCUUCUGAAGUGUGAGUUUAGGCAGGCCUCACUGCCCCAAAUUAUCUUUAAUGUUGGCCAAUCAUUGUAUCAGAAAUUCCUACCAUCAAGAACUUUUAAGCUGAUGCAGUGAUCACCAUCAUUAAAUGCAAAGGAUAACUGGAAAGGGAAAUGCCUAAACUUAUUGCACAGAUACUGUUGUUUGCUCAUACAUAGGCCAUUUCCCCUUUAUUGCUAACAAUGUCCCAGUUUUGUUCAGAUACAGGGUGAAUAUUAUUGGAUUUCUGGGAAGAUGGACCCACCAGUUUAUGUGUGAGGAUGUUACCCAGUUCCAGCCAAAGGGAUAUAAAGAAGAUUCUGCUGGAGGGAAGUCCUUCGAAAGAUUUUUCUGCUGAUGAAGAGAGAUAUAAAGUGACAGACUUACCCAAUUUCUGACUUUUAUGAGGUCUUGAGAGGAGAUGAUGCCCAUAACUGCUGCAUCCAUCUUGAGAUUGUGAAAAGAAGGGAAAGAAACAGGCUGAGAUCCCAACUCAAAGUUGAUAUCCACAUAGCAAUCAUCAACCACUGGACCUUCUGCUGGUUGCAGGUCCUUCUAGUUGUGGGAUGUGGGACGCAGCCUCAACAUGGCCUGACCAACGGUGCCAUGUCCGCACCCAGGAUCUGAACCCUUGGCCACAGCGGAGUUCGCGAACUUAACCACUCAGCCACGGAGCCAGCCCCGCAAAGCUACCAACUUCUACCAAGUAGAUUGGCCAAAUAGAUUCAGCACACUUCCACACAGAUCCAUUUCAUACCUUUCUCUCUCCUCCCCAGUGACCGUAGAAGCUGACCAAAAUAGAAUUCAUCACGCAGGCUUCCAUGUCCUCUGAAUUUUUGUUGGGUUAAGCCGUUGGAAGAAAGUAGCAGGAGAACAGGGGAUGAGAAGAGAGAGAAGUUUGAGUGUUUAUUUCUCCUUACUCCCUCCUACUUUUUUUUUUUUUUUGAGGAAGAUUAGCCCUGAGCUAACUCCUGCCAAUCCCCCUGUUUUUGCUGAGGAAGACUGGCCCUGAGCUAACAUCUGUGCCCAUCUUCCUCUACCUCAUAUGUGGGAUGGCUUCCACAGCAUGGCUUGACAAGCAGUGCCAUGUCCACACCUGGGACUGAACCUGUGAACCCUGGGCUGCUGAAGUAGAACAUGCGCGCUUAACCACUGCGCCACCGGGCUGGUCUUGUACACCUUCCUGCUUUGAUACGACUGUCAGGGGCUAUACUCCUCUAAGGCUAUAGCCCCUGUGGAUAGUACAUUUUUCUUUCGCCAGCAUCUAGUAACUCCAAUUUCUCUCCUUGAUCCUUCAGACCUAGAUAACAUAUUUCCACUGCCUCUGGUACUUGAUUAUCUAAUCAUCACUUGGUGGUACCGAAUGUAGCCCACACGUCUAUAAAUUGUCCCUUUACAGUGUACCAUCCCUUUCCUGAAGGGACUUUAACUAACAGAAUUAUUGGUGCCAAGGAUGUCAACCCCUAUACCCUAAAAGAUGGAAUUCUAGAAUAAAACUGCUCAUAUUUUUGAGUAAUACACACUUAAUCUCCAUGAGGACACUGAUAACCCAUGAUUGCAGUUAUUAAAAUUAUCACUGGUGAAGAUAUAGAGUGAAUUACAGGUGGAGGUCAAGGUGAAGGGAGAUCAAGUGGUUGAGGUACUUAAUUGCUAUGGUGAUAAUGGUGAUUACAUUGGAUGUGAUGGUGGAGCAACUGAUUCUAACUGUACUAAAGAGCUUACAAAAAGAAUAAAAAACGAAGCUUAAGGAUUUAACCUCUUAACUCAAGGCAUGGUCAAAGAAUCAGAAAGCUUCUAAGGCGGUCCUAAGGGAAACCAUUCUUUUUUUAGCUACAGACAGGGCAUGGAUGAAAGCCAGACAUAAGUUCUGAAUAUACACAUUUCUGAGUUGCAAUAGACACCAAACCAAGCUCAUAUACUAUGUAAAGGUAUUGGCUGGGCAAAAAGUACAAUUUGGAAUCUUGGAUAAAGAUAUUUGGACAAAGAUGAAUCUGAGAAUUUUGAAUCUUCAUAUCCUUCUGGAAGGAGGUCUCAUCAUUUGAUUGAUCUAGCCUUCCUUUGGGGAAAAAAGAAAAUUUUCAAAGACUUUGGUGAAAUUACCUGGCGCAGUUGACUUACAUAUGAAUGCCUUUUCUUCUCACAACCUCCUGCACCACUUUCCAAUGCCUUACCAAGAAGGUAAAUUCCAAACACAGAAGUAAAAGAAUUGCUCUGGGAAGAGGUAAUAAAUGCAGCAAAAGAGUUUCAGGACCUUGUCAAGUUACAUUCCAAAGGGAUGGAUCAAGCCAAAUAUAUACAGAUGGAGGCAUGUGGGCAGAGCUAGGGAAAUCAAUAAAGGACAGUGAGACACCCAGCAACCAGCAAGAGCAGGGAGGAAUUACUGUUCUUUGCCUGAAAAGUCGAACUUGUCGACUGGUGAGCAAGUUCAGCUUUGACAACCGGGCCACUUGGACUGUGUUAAUCUUUUCCAAGGCUCUGAAAAUGAUUGUUCCAACAGAAGCAGUGCCAAACGACAGAAAGUUCUCCACGUCUGUAUUUGCUUGUACAGGUAUUAGACCAGAGCUCAUUUGGUGCAAAUCUGGAGCUAGUUUUACCUUAACCAAAGCAGGUACAGAGACAUUACAGCCUCUCAUCAGUGAAUAUUUGGAGUAUAAUGGGUUUCCAGACUUCAGGUCACUAGUACACAAUGAGAUCUCGGCCCACAAGAAGAGUUCGUCUUUUGAGAUAAUAUUGAUUCUGGAAAAUAUUUCAGUUACUCCUGCCCAUAGCCACCAUAUCCAGAAGUCAUGACUUUCCCAAAAAGAAAGAAUGGAAGGAGAGGAAGAGAGAGAAGGACAUGGAUUUUUGAUACUUGAAACGACAUUCCCUUUGUUUCAUAUUGGACUAAGGUCUCUUCCUUCUUUUCUACCUUUCAUUUUUAAAAACCAUUCAGCAAACACAGAAUAUUGUGAGAUGCUACGAAAAUGGCCUGGGACAAGGCACUUAUCAUUCUGCCCUCAUGGAGCUUACUUCCUGUGUUUGAAUUACUUGUUUUUCAUCCCAACAUUGAAAUUCUGCCCUCAGCCUGGUGGCACCUUACAGAGAUUUUCACAGAGAAUUCUACAAUAGCAGGAAAGGGAAAAUAUAAGUAGAUCAUUGCCACUGAAUUUGAUGCUUUUUUUGUCUUUAAUUUUCUUUUACAAUCUACCAAUCACCUGCAUUUACCAACAAAUUAUUUUGGGGGAAAGGGCAGAGGAAUGGAUGAUUCAUACUGCUUCUCUUAGAGAGUUCCAAAUCUCAUAAGGGAGAGAAGAUUCUUCCACAUGUAUAGACCAUAAGUAAAAGGCAGCGUUUCCAUGUGACCUUAUUACCUGGUUGAUUAUGCCCCAGUACUUUGCUUUUUAUUAAUCAUUCAUAUAUUCAUUCAUGCAAUCACUCAAUGAACAUGAGUUGAACACCCAUUAAAAGGAAGGCACUUUUAUGCACAAAGUGUUUUGAAUGAUAGCAACUAAUUCAAGGGAAGCACUGAAGAGCCCCUACAGACUCCAUAAUCUACCUUCAGACAUUUCAAAAUAAAAAGCUUGACCUGCGUCACUUGCCCCAGGAGGCCCUAACUUCCAAUAGGUCAAGUCCUUUUUCUAAGUUUUGGUUUGAGUUAGCAGUUUUCUUCACCUCUUCCCUCACCACGUACCACCUCCUCCUCUCCACCCCUCAAAUAAAACAUAUACAGAGUCUCUCAGGCAAAUAUACGCACCAAGAAACACACAAUUAAGUAAUUCUCGAUCUUGUUCCCAGGUCUGGUAGUCAGUAAUAGUUUCUAAGGGCCCAGUAGGAACCUGUAUUUUUAUCCUAGGCAUCUUCUAAUAUCAAAAAAUAGUUCUAGAAAUGCUUAAGAGAGAGGUAGCUAUGUUUAAGUUUUGUGAUGUUUUUCCUUAGCUUAUUAUUUUUUACAACCGAAAUGAAAUGAAGUCUGAGCCAAGUUUAUAUUGAUUUUUUUUCAAACAAUACUAUCACCCUAAUACAUCCUAAUCUUUCAAUUCUAAUUGGACACAGAGAAGUCAACAAUCGAGCUUUAUUUCCAACUUCUAAUUGGCUGUAAACUAGUGAAGUGAGCGUGUACUUUUACUAAACUUCACCCAUCAAGACUAUCCGCCUUCACAGCAUCACAAAUUCAGCUCAUUAUAGCAGCCCACCUGAAGCGCCCCUUGCCCCCCAUCCAUACUGCAAAGCCAAUUACAUUCACGUAUCUGCCAUGCAGUUUGCUUUCAGCUCCACAAACUGUAACAGUGAGAAGAUAAUGCAGGCUCUUGUUACUAUUUUUCAUCUUUGUGAAGGUCCUCUUCUAAGUCGUGUUUCCCAUGUAGGUCUCCUCACUGGCUUCUCUAUCGAAUUCUUCUGUUUCUCUGGACCUUUUAACUCACAUUAUCUUGUAUUACAGGAAGUAUUACUGCUUACUUCUCUCUUGAGCUGGCAUAUCCCAGGACAUUCCCACUUGAUAGGUGUAAUUUAAUUUAAAUACUACUUUCCUUGUAAACUACUCUCUUUAAGGAGUGGAGUUAUUGGGAUGGGGUGGAGAUGACAAUUUAUAUUGGGAUGUAAAAUGACUGGUGGUCAACUCGAAAGUUCUCUCUACCAUCUUUGAAAUUUUGUCUACAAGGAUGUUAGUCAUAGUCCAUUGUUUUGGCACAUUUUGCAGUGCUUGUAUCCUAUUCUAAAAGUAAAGCUCCCUGAAGGUGGGUUCUGCGUUUUAUAUCUUUUCAUGCUUCUCUCUUGUGCACAUUAAUCAAAUUGCCUUAGCAAUAGUAGGUGCUUAACAAAUGUGCACUGAAUGAAUGAACUCCAGCUGCCUCUAUCAUUGCCUCCCUUGCUGUUCCAAAGUGGGGUAUCACAGGACACCAAGCCCUGCUGGGUGAAUGAGUUAUACUCAAGCACUACCUAUUUCUCAAAGGCAAAUCACACACACUCUGGUUGAGAGGCACAGGCUUGUUAUUAAUGAUGCUGGGAAAUGUGCCUUGUGACUAGGGAUGGGUGGAGCGCUUUCCACGUUACAGGAAAGCCUCAGUUAACCAGGACCCAAGGGGUCACAAUCCUCAAUUAGAAUUUGUUUCUAAUUUGAGAAGAAAGAGACAAAGGAUAGACAACUUGCUCACAUUGAGGAGUUAGCAAAAUAAGAGGUAAUGAAGUUAAAUAAAAUCAUAUUGGUAAGGAACAAUUUAGGACCAGCUCCAUCUCCCACAUGAUAUGCAUCUUUAUCUCUCGCUCUGCAUAUGAAGAUUACAUCUGUGAUUUGUAUCAAGAUAGAAAACAAUACUUAAGCAAGUCAUUUAUGAUUAAAAUGUUUGAAACCCAGAUAACAUCCUAGGGUCUCUAGGUUUAUAAACUGUAAUAUACUUAUGAAGACCUCAAGACCUUAGGGGAAAAAAACAAUUAACAAAAUAUUACUUAACAAAGAAAAGCCCAAUGCCAGGUGUGGCUAGUAGAAGAGGUUCUUUACCUCAUACCAAUGCUCCUUACCCUAGACCAGAGACAAGGGACUUUCUGACAACUUUCAUACCUUCUUGGGCAGACUGGACAAGUAACUUCUGCCUUUCUCUUUUUCUUCUCACUGGCCCCUCUCCACGGAAAGAGCUACAACCAAUUAGAUUGGUCAGUCUUGUGCUUACCGGGACUUGUUGACAGAGGUGCACUUCUUGUACCCUGAGUCUGUCUGGAACCUGCAUCUCUCCUGGAUUGGUUAUUAGGGUAGUGGGAUUUCAUCUGCUCCCUUCUCCCUUAUAGGAGCCUCUCCUCCCUAUGCAGGCAAGACACCACCCUUUGCCUCCCCAUUUGUAACUGGUGGGUAAUGAGAUCCACGCAUUCCCAUGGACUCAGCUGACCCUGAUUUUUAAUCAAAUAUGAUGCUCUAUUUCCGUCCUCAAUCCAGGCCAUGUCUUUCAAUAUAGUUUACCAGAAACUGUUUAUCAAUCACCGAUUAAUAAAUUUGAUGUUUUAAAUCUUGUUUGGCUAAUGCUUCUUGUGUCUAGUCUCUUCAUAGAUUAAAACUUGGCGAAAGGAGGAUGGUAUAAUUAUUACCUCCAAUUUCUAACCCUCAGGUACAAUCAAAUCUGAAUUUACCAUUAUCUUAAGCUAACUUUUUUUUUGUACUAGGCUUCUAAAGAGGAAAUAAUUUACCUAAGAAAAACUGAAUGAUAGAAUUUUUCAAAAGAAAAAUUCCAGAAUUAGUCCAUAUUUAGUUUGAUUUCUCAUCUCUCUGAGCCAAGAGUGAGGAAGACGGGUGUUGGUGGUCUGAUGGUAAAAGAGAAGGAAGAAAAUUCUGUAUAUACUCUAAAAAACGGGAGAGUGAAUUGAGUAGAGAAACACAAUAGGAUCUCUGGUUAGUGCUGAGGGCCCACCUGAAGUAUGUGGUCUUAUAUUUCAAGUGAAACUAGUUAAGAAGUUGAUAUGGAUCUUGCCAGUCAUUACAAGCCAAUUCCUCCUUGCACUCCUUCUUUCUUGAAGCUAUAAGCACUCUGCUGAAUUCAACCCCUAUCCUACACUUGGGUGUGUGCAUGUUGUGAGUAUAUAAAUUGUCACUAUGUAAAAAUGUAGCCCUAAACCAAACAUUGCUUAAUUUGCCUGGCUUUGAGCUUUAAAACAUAUUGAAUGCGUUCUUCUGUGACUUGAUUUUGUUCCAUAUAAUAUUUAUUAGCUACAUCCAUAGUGUUGCUUAGAGAUGUAAUUCAUUUAUUUCCACUUAUUGUAUAGCUUUUGUUUGUGCUAUUAUGAAAAUGCUGUAUGACCCUUCUCAUGCAUAUCUUUUGGUGUAAGUGUGCAAUUUCUCUGAGUUACUCACCUAAGAAUGAAAUUGUUUGCUCAUAGAGUAGACACAAGUUUAAAGAUAAUGCCGACUUGUUUCCCAAAUUGGUGGUAGAAAAUUAUAUUCCCUCCAGCAAUGGUUCCUAGAACAAUUUCAGUUGCUUAGAUACAGGCACUAGAUAGUCAGAUGGAUAGAUUUAACUAGAUGGAGGGUUUGUCCAAUGAAUAUGAUAGAAGGGCAAGGGAAUUAAGAUUUUAACGAAGCAGUGAUUAAAAUGAAGUUCCAUGGAAGUUAAGCUGGAUAGAGUAUAAAGUAAGGAUUUCAGUGAAAGAUGCAUAAGAUAAGAAUAAUACGGAAUCCAUGAAUUAGGGGUCCCUUCAGCUGCACUGCAGAGAGGUAAAUGGUGAGGGGUGGUUGCACCCUUGGGAAGAGAGCCCAAUGAAAAGCAUAAGAGAAGCUUUAGACUUCAGACAAAGGGAGAGCAGAGUAU
ensembl:lncRNA